AGUGAACGCUGGCGGUAGGCCUAACACAUGCAAGUCGAACGGCAGCACAGUAAGAGCCUGCUCUUACGGGUGGCGAGUGGCGGACGGGUGAGGAAUACAUCGGAAUCUACUUUUUCGUGGGGGAUAACGUAGGGAAACUUACGCUAAUACCGCAUACGACCUACGGGUGAAAGCAGGGGAUCUUCGGACCUUGCGCGAUUGAAUGAGCCGAUGUCGGAUUAGCUAGUUGGCGGGGUAAAGGCCCACCAAGGCGACGAUCCGUAGCUGGUCUGAGAGGAUGAUCAGCCACACUGGAACUGAGACACAGUCCAGACUCCUACGGGAGGCAGCAGUGGCGAAUGUUGGCCAAUGGGCGCAAGCCUGAUCCAGCCAUACCGCGUGGGUGAAAAAGGCCUUCGGGUUGUAAAGCCCUUUUGUUGGGAAAGAAAAGCAGCAGGUUAAUACCCCGCUGUUCUGACGGUACCCAAAGAAUAAGCACCGGCUAACUUCGUG
rnacentral:rRNA from 1 species